rnacentral:rRNA from 1 species
AGGGAGUGGCAACACUUCCGUCGGCGACCGGCGCACGGGUGAGUAACGCGUAUGCAACCUGCCCUUCACAGGGGGAUAACCGGGAGAAAUUCCGACUAAUACCGCAUACGUCCUCCGGGGGCAUCCCCGGGGGAUGAAAGAAUCAUCGGUGAAGGAUGGGCAUGCGUGAUAUUAGGUAGUUGGCGGGGCAACGGCCCACCAAGCCCACGAUAUCUAGGGGUUCUGAGAGGAAGGUCCCCCACAUUGGUACUGAGACACGGACCAAACUCCUACGGGAGGCAGCAGUGAGGAAUAUUGGUCAAUGGACGAGAGUCUGAACCAGCCAAGUCGCGUGAAGGAAGACGGAUCUAUGGUUUGUAAACUUCUUUAGUGCGGGAACAAAGCGGCGUCGUGACGCCUGAUGAGUGUACCGCAAGAAUAAGCAUCGGCUAACUCCGUGCCAGCAGCCGCGGUAAUACGGAGGAUGCGAGCGUUAUCCGGAUUUAUUGGGUUUAAAGGGAGCGCAGGCUGCGAGGCAAGUCAGCGGUCAAAUGUCGGGGCUCAACCCCGGCCUGCCGUUGAAACUGUCCUGCUAGAGUUCGAGUGAGGUAUGCGGAAUGCGUUGUGUAGCGGUGAAAUGCAUAGAUAUGACGCAGAACUCCGAUUGCGAAGGCAGCAUACCAACUCGCGACUGACGCUGAGGCUCGAAAGCGUGGGUAUCGAACAGGAUUAGAUACCCUGGUAGUCCACGCAGUAAACGAUGAAUACUAACUGUUCGGAGGGCGACCUCUGAGUGGUAAAGCGAAAGCGUUAAGUAUUCCACCUGGGGAGUACGCCGGCA